rnacentral:lncRNA from 1 species
CGUGUAAAGAUUGUGCGUGCCGGUGGUUGGUCGUUGGAAUGGGUUCGUUAAAGUUGCUCACGAAAGUAGGUCGACUUCAGAGCACAUGAACAAUACUGUGUACACCGUCAUGCUGAUUAGUCCUACCUGAACACGUUCGAUUAAUAUGCUCAUCAGGAAAUCGAAGCUGUUUCCUUGUCGAAGUUAAGUCAGGAAGGAUCGCUUAUGGAAAUCAAUCCAUAACGAUUGAUUAAUCGAAUAUUAUCAAGGAUUUGUACUGUAAUCAGUUGGAUUGCGUGCAUCUUAAUAAGUUGCAAACUUGUUUAAUUCGAAACUACUGU